rnacentral:rRNA from 1 species
GUCUGCGGCCAUGCCACCCCGAACCAGCCCUAUCCCGUCUGAUUUCGGAAGCUAAGCAGGGUCAGGCCUGGUUAGUACUUGGAUGGGAGACCACCUAGGGAGACCAGGUGCUGUAGGUG